AGUUUGGGGAGUAGAAAUCAGGUUAGAAGGGGAGAGUGAGAGUUUAAUUUUAAUUUUUUAGUUUUUUAAUUUUUUAUUCAUAUCUAAGAUCAGAGACUAAUAAAACGAUUAACCCUUUCUUGAAGUUAAUUUGAACAGAGGGAGUGUGCUAUGCAGAGGACUAUAACUUGGCAAAACACAUAGAAAUGGAUGUGCCAAAUCUGCAGAUGAUUAAGCUGGUGUAGAGCUUCAAGUCCAAGGAGUAUGUGAGAGAAACUUUCGCUUGGAUGCAUUACUACUGGUACCUGACUAAUGAUGGUUUGAGUUUUUGAGAAACUACCUCAAUCUCUCAUCUGAGAUUGUCCCUGCAACUCUAAAGAAGCAGGCCAAGCCUCCUAGUCCCCCUUUGGGCCCAUCUGGUGACCGCCCACGCUGAUAAGAUGGGUACGGUUCAAGUCCUCUUUGCAUCAGGGGGUGAUUUUGGUGACAAGGGUGGAGCACCUGCUGAUUACAGACCUUCUUUUGGGGUAGUAGGCCUGGCUUUGGUCGUAGUGCUGGUGGAUCCGGUGGAGCUGGCCCAGCGAGCUCUGGUCUGUCUUAAGGAAAUGGUUUACUUAGACAGCAUUUGGUUUCCUAAGUUUGCAUUUAAAAACAGAUUACAAGUUUUGUUUGACUAUCUGCAGUAGUCUUGGGAUUGUAUUAGAUGUUUGUUUUUAUUCUACAUGACCUUUGAAUCGCACUUUGCAAAAUUUAUGUUAUCAGUCAUCUA